UACGUAGGCAGCAAGCGUUGUUCGGAGUUACUGGGCGUAAAGGGUGCGUAGGCGGUUCUUUAAGUUUGCUGUGAAAUCUCCCGGCUUAACCGGGAGGGUGCGGUGAAUACUGAGGGACUAGAGUACGGGAGAGGAAAGUGGAAUUCCUGGUGUAGCGGUGAAAUGCGUAGAUAUCAGGAGGAACACCGGUGGUGUAGACGGCUUUCUGGACCGUAACUGACGCUGAGACACGAAAGCGUGGGUAGCAAACAGG
rnacentral:rRNA from 1 species